rnacentral:rRNA from 1 species
GAUGAACGCUGGCGGCGUGCUUAACACAUGCAAGUCGAACGAAGCACCUUGAUUUGAUUCUUCGGAUGAAGAUCUUGGUGACUGAGUGGCGGACGGGUGAGUAACGCGUGGGUAACCUGCCUCAUACAGGGGGAUAACAGUUAGAAAUGACUGCUAAUACCGCAUAAGGCCACAGCACCGCAUGGUGCAGGGGUAAAAACUCCGGUGGUAUGAGAUGGACCCGCGUCUGAUUAGGUAGUUGGUGGGGUAACGGCCUACCAAGCCGACGAUCAGUAGCCGACCUGAGAGGGUGACCGGCCACAUUGGGACUGAGACACGGCCCAAACUCCUACGGGAGGCAGCAGUGGGGAAUAUUGCACAAUGGGGGAAACCCUGAUGCAGCGACGCCGCGUGAGCGAUGAAGUAUUUCGGUAUGUAAAGCUCUAUCAGCAGGGAAGAAAAUGACGGUACCUGACUAAGAAGCAC